rnacentral:rRNA from 1 species
AGCGAACGCUGGCGGCAGGCCUAACACAUGCAAGUCGAACGAACUCUUCGGAGUUAGUGGCGGACGGGUGAGUAACACGUGGGAACGUGCCUCUUGGUUCGGAAUAACUCAGGGAAACUUGUGCUAAUACCGAAUGUGCCCCUCGGGGGAAAGAUUUAUCGCCAUUAGAGCGGCCCGCGUCUGAUUAGCUAGUUGGUGAGGUAACGGCUCACCAAGGCGACGAUCAGUAGCUGGUCUGAGAGGAUGACCAGCCACACUGGGACUGAGACACGGCCCAGACUCCUACGGGAGGCAGCAGUGGGGAAUCUUGCGCAAUGGGCGAAAGCCUGACGCAGCCAUGCCGCGUGAAUGAUGAAGGUCUUAGGAUUGUAAAAUUCUUUCACCGGGGACGAUAAUGACGGUACCCGGAGAAGAAGCCCCGGCUAACUUCGUG